GAUGAACGCUGGCGGCGUGCCUAAUACAUGCAAGUCGAGCGAACGGACGAGAAGCUUGCUUUUCUGAUGUUAGCGGCGGACGGGUGAGUAACACGUGGAUAACCUACCUAUAAGACUGGGAUAACUUCGGGAAACCGGAGCUAAUACCGGAUAAUAUUUUGAACCGCAUGGUUCAAAAGUGAAAGACGGUCUUGCUGUCACUUAUAGAUGGAUCCGCGCUGCAUUAGCUAGUUGGUAAGGUAACGGCUUACCAAGGCAACGAUGCAUAGCCGACCUGAGAGGGUGAUCGGCCACACUGGAACUGAGACACGGUCCAGACUCCUACGGGAGGCAGCAGUAGGGAAUCUUCCGCAAUGGGCGAAAGCCUGACGGAGCAACGCCGCGUGAGUGAUGAAGGUCUGCGGAUCGUAAAACUCUGGUAUUAGGGAAGAACAUAUGUGUAAGUAACUGUGCACAUCUUGACGGUACCUAAUCAGAAAGCCACGGCUAACUACGUG
rnacentral:rRNA from 1 species